UCCGGUAUGGUGUAACGGCUAACAUUGUCGCCUUUCAACUGGUUCCGGUCAUCCCGGAUCACCUGACGCGACGGCUCAGGGUUCGAUUCCCUGUACCGGAG
rnacentral:tRNA from 1 species